rnacentral:rRNA from 1 species
GAACGCGAAGAACCUUACCAAAUCUUGACAUCCUCUGACCCCUCUAGAGAUAGAGUUUUCCCCUUCGGGGGACAGAGUGACAGGUGGUGCAUGGUUGUCGUCAGCUCGUGUCGUGAGAUGUUGGGUUAAGUCCCGCAACGAGCGCAACCCUUAAGCUUAGUUGCCAUCAUUAAGUUGGGCACUCUAAGUUGACUGCCGGUGACAAACCGGAGGAAGGUGGGGAUGACGUCAAAUCAUCAUGCCCCUUAUGAUUUGGGCUACACACGUGCUACAAUGGAAAAUACAAAGGGCAGCGAAACCGCGAGGUCAAGCAAAUCCCAUAAAGUUGUUCUCAGUUCGGAUUGUAGUCUGCAACUCGACUAUAUGAAGCUGGAAUCGCUAGUAAUCGUAGAUCAGCAUGCUACGGUGAAUACGUUCCCGGGUCUUGUACACACC